AAGCCCUUACCCAUCUAUCUGA
rnacentral:miRNA from 1 species